rnacentral:misc_RNA from 1 species
UCCGGCUUAUCACCGGCGGUUUCUUUAGAGUGCCCAACUUAAUGAUGGCAACUAAAGACGAGGGUUGCGCUCGUUGCGGGACUUAACCCAACAUCUCACGACACGGGCUGACGACAGCCAUGCAGCACCUGUGUGUAGGUCCCUUACGGGAAGAGAUCCAUCUCUGGAAAUCGUCCUACCAUGUCAAACGCUGGUAAGGUUCUGCGCGUUGCGUCGAAUUAAACCACAUGCUCCGCUGCUUGUGCGGGCCCCCGUCAAUUCCUUUGAGUUUUAGCCUUGCGGCCGUACUCCCCAGGCGGGUCACUUAAUGCGUUAGCUCCGGCACGGAGGGAGUCGACACCCCCCACACCUAGUGACCAUCGUUUACGGCGUGGACUAC